GCUGAGGGUUUGUCGGAAGGGGACAAACGUACACUCUAGCUACUAGUGUGUGUUUAAACACCAGGAACGCGUGCCAUAUCUUGAAUUCUAUGGUGCACCUUUAGGUCAUUAUCUUCAGGUGUGUUUCACCGGCUUGUUCCAAAAUGCCAAGGUGUAAUUGUCACUAGGCAUCCCGAAAGCAUUGCGGAAAAAGCUGGAGUACGCCUAGCACCUCUUCAUUCUGCGUGUCCCUGUCGGAUCUUGCCAUCAGCAGACAAUAGAAAGCACCAAUACAACAGCCUGUCUUUCCUGGAUGGAGAGUCCUCGGACUUCUUCUUUGGAGUUACUUACAAGUUAAAUUGUUGGGAUUGUUGACAAGGCCCUCUAUGUGGAUUACUACAGUUUAAUCACCGGCAAUUCUCCACCUUAAGUCCUUGCAGGUGACUGCAGAAGCCGUCAGACCCAGCGUAUCCAGGUGUGACUCGUGACAGUCCAGCGAAAGCUGGUGAUUUAUGACUGUCGAGGACGUCCGCGGGCAUGAUUAAGGGCGCCAAGAUUUACUUCCUUCCUUCUCCAGCGGGUUACCUGCGGGGAGUGAGUCAUCCCAUAAUUUAUAACGCUGCGGACCCUUUGUCAGGAGACCGGGAAGAGAAAACUCAGAAAACGCCACCUGGGAGAUCAUGACAUCUGGCACUCUGGACAUACUUCUGAGGAGCAAGCAGGAGUCUGCAGAAUUUUCCUGGUUUCUUUUAUUCAAGGAAAUGUUCAUUAAAAAGGUAAAGUCAUCGGGCAUAGUUAUUCCAUUAUUUCUACUGUGGAGACCGAGAGCUGAGCUGGAAACUUUCUGACCAAAUCUUCAAACUCAGACUUGAUAUCAACUUUACUAACUGAAGAAGGCAGCGGGGGCUGGAUGGUGGCAUAGCUGUUGACACUGCCCUGCGAGGCCGAGCUGCACCGGCUGGUCACGGGUUCACAUCCGGAGUCCCUGCACACACCAGGACCUGUGGGGACCAAGUGUGACAGUGGGAGGUAUCCCGGAGAGCCACCAGGCCUGAGUGAGCCGCGGCCCCAUGCCACAUGCUGCAACCCAGAGAGGCGCCUCUGCGGAAGGAGACGGCUGCAGGUCUUGGAAUUUCAACAUACACUAAACCCGAUGAGAAGCUAACCGUGGCCAGGAGAGUGCUGUGAGUUCGUUCUCCGAUGUCCACGCCGCUCCAGGACUCGGGUGUACUUCCUACUCCGCCUCGCUCUUUCCAAGGGCCCCUUCUCGAAGCUUACAGAUCAACUGUGGCAUCUCAGACUUUGGCAGGCCAAGGUUGUGCCUGCUUCUCCUAACGUCGAAUGCGUGGUUAGGGUUCGAAGUGGGAGACACAGAGAGGCACCCCCGGCAGAGGACUCAUACCAUGAUCCACCCCCGGUUCCACCGGCUUUAGAUCACAGUUGAAGAAACGUGGCAUUCCCAACUUUCAACACUGCCCGAAUAAGACGUCGGUAUCUGGCUGGUAGUGAAACUCGAGCCAGGAGUUGAUAUUCUGUGCAGAGAUUCUGGCAGUGACUCCCACACAGUGAGACCUCCGUUUUCUUUCCACUGCCUGCCUUUAAAGCCCAAUGUGGUUCUUAGAGCUGAUCAAGCCUUUGUUUCACCAGCCUCUCCGUUCUUUUCAACUGCAGUAUUUCUGCUCUACUUAGAGAGCUGGACUAUGAGGUCAAGGAUAUGUUUUGUUCUCUGGAUUACUGUCUGCUACCAGGAAAGGGGAAAGGGAAAGAAGAAUGGUGAAUGGGUGGGUCAUAUCCCUGCCUUCUGUGCCAGCUCAGAAUACCCAAGGGAACACCCCUUCCUGCCACUCCUGGACAUGGGUUCUAGUUCUGCUUUGGUAGUUGGGUGUGGGGUGCGGGUCCCACCAUGCCGCUGUUCCUGUGACUACACUUUGAAUAAGAAGGUUCUAAAUAAAAAUAUGCGAAUCAGCCUUCA